GACAUUCGACAUCAUUUCCUCUGUGAUAAUGUGAUUAAGGGUGAUGUUGAAGUGACAUUUAUGGAUACUCAUAACCAACUAGCGGAUAUUUUGACAAAACCUCUUGCAAAGGAACCACUCUUCAAGAUUCGAAGAGAACUACGCAUAUUGGAUGAUCAUGAUGUGUAAUUCUCAAUACAAAUACAUUUCCAUAAUCAUACUUCAAGGAAACCAACUCUCAUACAUCAAUUAAGGUACAUGGUAUCUUACAUAAUUUUUUUAGUUAAU
rnacentral:lncRNA from 1 species